CUAGAUUCAUAUAGAACAAAGAUGGGAGACACUGAAAUAAAAGCUUAAGCAAUGCGAACUUGAAGAAGAAAGUGUGAACACGUUUUGAAGAAUGCAGAGUCAAGAUUACCUCAGCAAUAAAGUGUGGACGAUCUUUUUUUUCUCUCUCUCUGCACCACAUGACAUGUAGGAUCUUAGUUCCCCGCCCAGGGAUCGAACCCACACUCAUUGAAUUGGAAGCGCAGAGUCUUAACCACUGGACUGCCAGAUAAUAAAACAAUAACAGUGGAGUCAAUAGAACUGCACCGCCCAAGGUCCCAGUGCCCAAGGUCAUGGUGCUUGGAGACUGCAGGACUAGGACCAGCCCUCCCAGAGAGAUGAAGAUCACGUGCUCUUCCUCCCCUGUGAGGCCUGUGUUUCUGCGCUGGCUCCUGACGCAAUCUACCAAGGACUUGUGCCAAGCAGCAGACCUUCCACCCAGCCAGUUUGGGCAGGUGUUCAUAUCGUGUUUUGAACCCAAAUUUCAAGGCCAGCAUUCCAGGUCAGUUUCCUGCACACACUGGUUGAGAAG
ensembl:lncRNA